CAGCAGCCGCGGGAAUACAGAGGGUGCGAGCGUUAAUCGGAUUUACUGGGCGUAAAGCGUGCGUAGGCGGCUUUUUAAGUCGGAUGUGAAAUCCCUGAGCUUAACUUAGGAAUUGCAUUCGAUACUGGGAAGCUAGAGUAUGGGAGAGGAUGGUAGAAUUCCAGGUGUAGCGGUGAAAUGCGUAGAGAUCUGGAGGAAUACCGAUGGCGAAGGCAGCCAUCUGGCCUAAUACUGACGCUGAGGUACGAAAGCAUGGGGAGCAAACAGGAUUAGAUACCCCCGUAGUCCAUGUCUCUUAUAU
rnacentral:rRNA from 1 species